CGCGCAGGGCCGCAGAGCCGCAGGACUAACCUGGCUUGCGCCCUGCAGCCCCGGGCUCGCCCGGCGGCCCCGCCCCCUCCCCUGCCGGGGCUUUUCCUGCGGAGCUCAGGAAGCCGGCCUAGCACAGCCUCGGGACUUGGGCUCCGCUCCCAGGGAGGCCGGCGCGGGGCCGCUGGGACAGGGGUUGUCGGCGCCGCUGGGGGCCCGCAGCCAGCCCUCGGCCCGGGCCGGAGCUUCAGUUCAGGUCGGCGCUCCAGGGGUCUUUGUUGGCCGCGACUGAGGGAGCGGGAGCCGGGGGAGGAGCUGGGGAGGCGGCGGCUGGAGCCGGAGAGUGGGAGCCAGCGAGCGGAGUAGGGAGCGAGCGCGCGGAGUUGGGAGCGAGGAGGGUGGGAGGGAGGAGAAAAAGUAAAUAGGAGAGAGCGAAACAAGGCUGAACAGGCAGACGGGCGGGCAUUAGAGCCAGCUGCUGCUGCUGGGGGAGAGCGGGAGUUCAGGCAGCUCGCACCCCAGCCCCGGGCCAGGGCCACAUCCAGACAGCAGGCGGCCAGCGCCCUGGGGAAGCGGUACCGUGGGGGAGCCGGCAGCAGGCCCUCCGCGCGCCUCCGCCUGAGGGAGGCUCGGCGUCCUCUGCCCCAGCCCUGCCGCCCAGCGCCUGCCCUCGAAGCCCCGCGGCCGCCCGCGCCCUCCUCCCAUCAGUGGCCUAGCAGCCCUCGGCCCAAGGCUUCUCCGGCCCCUGGCUGCCCGCGGACGCCCUCCCACAGUCAUGAACCCCCAUGAGUGAGCAGCGGAGGAAGGAGGAGCGGCCGACUCGGACGUGGACGGCUUUUUUCGGACAGCUCCUCCAACUCCCAGACUGUGUGGUUCUGCACAACAGUGAAGAAAAUAUUGAGGAACCGAAACAAGCUGAGGCAGGUAAGUCCCACCCCCUCCUCCACUCAGAUGCCGGAGGCCUGACACCAGUUAGGCUGGUGUACCUGCAGCAUUCUGCCCUGGGUUUGCCUUUGAUCCCACCCCUGCAGUCUAGCCACCAGGAAACAAAAAAUCUCCUCUCUGGGUUUUCUAAGCCUUACCUUUUGGUUCAGGGCAGAUCAGAACCCAGGAAACCCUGAACUCCAGAUAGGCAUCUGAAGGGAGAGGUGUCUCCACUCUGCCUCCAGCUCAGGUCCUCAGAACUACGCUUUGCCCUCACCUCACCUGACUGGUGCAGCACAUCCAGCCUCGUGCUCCUUGUUUUCUGGACAGUUUCCUUUUGUUGUGUUUGAUUUCCUUCUCUCAAGUAGUCAUUCAGUUUCCACAGUGAAUCCUGACUGGCACGCUAGAGUAUACACAGGCCUGAACACAUACUUGAAAGGUUGUGCCUCUCUUGCCUCCUGUUCCAGCUUCCUACCAUCCAAACUACACAAAUCAGCAAGUACCUCUUCCAAAUUUGUUUUUUUAGUGAACAGGGUCUCACUCUGUUGCCCAAGCUACAGUGCAGUGGUACAGUCAUAGCUCACUGCAGCCUCCUACUCCUGGGCUCAAGUGAUCCUCCCACCUCAGCCUCCCAAAUAGUUGGGACUACAGGUGCAUGCCACUACACCCAGCUAAUUAUUAAACUUUUUGUCGAGAUGGGAUCUCACUAUGUUGCCCAGGCUGGUCCUGAACUCCUGGGCUCAAGUGAUGCUCUUGACCCAAAGCGCUGGGA
ensembl:lncRNA